rnacentral:rRNA from 1 species
AUUGUUCGCAAUGGGCGCAAGCCUGCCGACGCAACGCCGCGUGGAGGAUGAAGGUCUUCGGAUUGUAAACUCCUGUCGAACGGGACGAACACCUGCCGGGAUAACACCCUGGUGGGCUGACGGUACCGUGAGAGGAAGCCCCGGCUAACUCUGUGCCAGCAGCCGCGGUAAUACAGAGGGGGCAAGCGUUGUUCGGAAUUACUGGGCGUAAAGGGCGCGUAGGCGGCCACCUAAGUCAGACGUGAAAUCCCUCGGCUCAACCGGGGAACUGCGUCUGAGACUGGGUGGCUUGAAUCCGGGAGAGGGAUGUGGAAUUCCAGGUGUAGCGGUGAAAUGCGUAGAUAUCUGGAGGAACACCGGUGGCGAAGGCGGCAUCCUGGACCGGUAUUGACGCUGAGGCGCGAAAGCCAGGGGAGCAAAC